AUUUGUGUUGGUCGGCCGGUGUCGUCCGCAUACUAGGCGUGGGUUGGUUGUCCCCCUUAGGCUUGUGCCCCCGAGGGCCUGGUCGCUUGCUGGCGGGUGGUCUUCUGGAUCUGUGGUCUGGUAGGUGGGUUCUGGGUACCCGUGGCAGGUGUAUAUAGUGCUAAUUGGUCUGGCCAUUGCAUGUGAGCAGGGGUUAGUUGGAGUUCCUCCGCGAGGUCAUUCAGGUCUUUCCUGUCCUUGACGAUGAAGGGGCCUUU